rnacentral:rRNA from 1 species
UUUCCAGACUCCUACGGGAGGCAGCAGUGAGGAAUAUUGGUCAAUGGCCGUAAGGCUGAACCAGCCAAGUAGCGUGAGGGAAGGCUGCCCUAUGGGUUGUAAACCUCUUUUAUGCGGGGAUAAAGGUGUCCACGUGUGGAUGUUUGCAGGUACCGCAUGAAUAGGGACCGGCUAAUUCCGUGCCAGCAGCCGCGGUAAUACGGAAGGUCCGGGCGUUAUCCGGAUUUAUUGGGUUUAAAGGGUGCGUAGGCGGAAUGCCAAGUCAGGGGUAAAAUUGCGGGGCUAAACCCCGGCGAGCCGUUGAAACUGGCAGACUUGAGUUGGCGAGAAGUACGCGGAAUGCGCGGUGUAGCGGUGAAAUGCAUAGAUAUCACGCAGAACUCCGAUUGCGAAGGCAGCAUACCGGCGCUCAACUGACGCUCAUGCACGAAAGUGUGGGUAUCGAACAGGAUUAGAUACCCGCGUAAC